GGCCCCUUGUUUGUUAAGUAUGGGGGGUCUGGCCUGCCCAGUGGUGUUCUAAACGGUCGCAGCUUUACUGUGCUAAGGUAGCGUAAUAGGUCGUCCUUUAAUUGGGGAAAAGUAUGAAUGGUCGAAUGGUGGAAGGUCUUUAUUAGAAAUAAGUUUUGAAAUUUACUUCCAAGUGCAAAGGCUUGGUUUAUUAUACUAGACGAGAAGACCCUGUUGAGCUUAGUAUGCCUAAGCCUUUUUGGCUUAGGAGUAUGUUUAUUCGGGGCCGAAAGGAAGGGAUAACUAUUCCUUCUUGAUUAAUAAGGAUCCAGCUGGGCUGAUAAGAGGAAGAAGUUACCACAGGGAUAACAGCGCAAUCUUUUUGUCAAGGCCAUAUUUGAGGGAGGGUUUGCGACCUCGAUGUUGAAUCAAAAUUCCUAUUAGGUGUAGCAGCUUAGUAAGUAGGACUGUUCGUCCUUUGAAAUUUUACG
rnacentral:rRNA from 1 species